UACGUAGGGAGCAAGCGUUGUCCGGAAUCAUUGGGCGUAAAGCGCGCGUAGGCGGCCUCAUAAGUCCGUUGUGAAAGUCAAAGGCUCAACCUUUGAAAGCCGAUGGGUACUGUGAGGCUAGAGUCCGGAAGAGGCGAGUGGAAUUCCUGGUGUAGCGGUGGAAUGCGCAGAUAUCAGGAAGAACACCCGUGGCGAAGGCGGCUCUCUGGGACGGUACUGACGCUGAGACGCGAAAGCGUGGGGAGCGAACAGG
rnacentral:rRNA from 1 species